CCUACGGGAGGCAGCAGUGAGGAAUAUUGGUCAAUGGCCGGAAGGCUGAACCAGCCAUGCCGCGUGAAGGUCAGUGCCCUAUGGGCGUUAAACUUCUUUUGUGCGGGAGCAAUACUGGUCACGUGUGGCCAGACGAGAGUCCCGUACGAAUCAGCAUCGGCUGACUCCGUGUCAGCAGCCGCGGUAAUACCGGGGAUGCAAGGGUUUUCCGGAGUUAAUGGGUUUAAAGGGUUAGUAGGCUGGGAGGUAAGUCAGCGGUGAAAUGCCCCCGCUCAACGGGGUGAAGUGCCAUUGAUACUGCCUGGCUGGAAUGCGGAAGCCGUGAGAGGAAUGUGUGGUGUAGCGGUGAAAUGCAUAGAUAUCACACAGAACACCGAUUGCGAAGGCAGCUCACGAAUCCGCGAUUGACGCUGAUGCACGAAAGCGUGGGUAUCAAACAGGAUUAGAUACCCUUGUAGUC
rnacentral:rRNA from 1 species